AUUGAACGCUGGCGGCAGGCCUAACACAUGCAAGUCGAACGAGUGGCGGACGGGUGAGUAAUGUCUGGGAAACUGCCCGCUGGAGGGGGAUAACUACUGGAAACGGUAGCCAAUACCGCCUACCAUCGGAUGUGCCUAGAUGGGAUUAGCUAGUCGGUGGGGUAACGGCUCACCUAGGCGACGAUCCCUAGCUGGUCUGAGAGGAUGACCAGCCACACUGGAGCGAGGACACGGUCCAGACUCCUACGGGAGGCAGCGGUGAGGAAUAUUGCGCAAUGGGCGCAAGCCUGAUGAAGCCAUGCCGCGUGUAUGAAGAAGGCCUUCGGGUUGUAAAGUACGUUCAGCGAGGAGGCGUUACUCGCAGAAUAAGCACCGGCUAACUCCGUGCCAGCAGCCGCGGUAAUUC
rnacentral:rRNA from 1 species